UACAGAGGGUGCGAGCGUUGUCCGGAAUCACUGGGCGUAAAGGGCGCGUAGGCGGCUUGAUAAGGUUGCGGUGAAAGCCCGGGGCUCAACCCCGGGUCGGCCGUGGCAACUGUCGAGCUGGAGCACUGUAGAGGCAGGUGGAAUUCCGGGUGUAGCGGUGAAAUGCGUAGAGAUGUGGAGGAACACCGAUGGCGAAGGCAGCCUUCUGGGCCAACACUGACGCCCAUACACGAAAGCGUGGGGAGCAAACAGG
rnacentral:rRNA from 1 species